rnacentral:lncRNA from 1 species
GUCUGCUGCGUACAUGUGAUACAGGCUGGGAGAUCAGAACGCUAACAGAACAGGCAGUGUAAUUACAUGUUCCUUGUAAGUAUGUUAGCCCCACGGGGAACUGAGCUGGCUCGUCCACUUGGAGAGGGAAAGUAGAUUUAAGGAUGGUGGAAGGGGUCAUUUCCUAACUGACUUAUUACUCGGUGGUGAUGAGGGCAUUUGCUGAUCUCCAGUGACUGCCUGGUGCUUUUGGUCAGGCUCGGCUCUCUCACUCCCAGAUACUUGAUUUUGCAAAAGGGACACACCUUUCUGCAGGAAGAGAAGAUACUGACCAGAUUGCAAGCGGUGUUUGUGGAUGCUUCGCAGUCACCCAGGGUCCAGGCAAGCCGACCGUGCAUGGGCAUCGGAGACCAUGGCUGUGCAGCUGGUGCCCGACUCUGCUCUCAGCCUGCUGAUGGCGAGGAAACCAGACAGAUAACACCAGUUCCUCGUUUGUGUAGAACUGAUGCCAAGAUUGUAGCUUUUCAACUCUUUAGGGCCUGAUACAAAUACCUCCAUUCCAU